rnacentral:misc_RNA from 1 species
GAUAAAGUCACCAAGACUGGAAAGACGAAACCUAUGAAGAUGAGGAUACAUCUUUUACAAGUUAGCAAUCAUCCAAUCCAUAGAUCACCCCCACAUGCUCCUCCUCCUCAUGGUCUUUCAGAGAAUAGACAGUCUUCAUCUUGAGAAACGCUUGCCAUGUCAGUAAACUGUCUGAUCCAGCCUGGUGACACUGUCCUGCUGCCCGCUCAACCUGAAGAAUCUCCGCUACCCGAUCCAAACUUCCAUAAAGCCCCUCGAAUCUCCGCAUAACAUGUUUCAAAUCAAGCACUCGAUCUCCAAAGUAAACUCUGAUCAGAUCCAAAAAAUCAUCCAAAUACUCUGGCAACCACAUGUUCGUCAAGAUCUUGACCACAUAUCCGAAAUCAUAUGCGCUGUGGAAAGUCACCCAGGUAACCCGUGAAUCAUUACAAAUCAAUCCGGACGACAUCAAUAGAGCGCCAAAGUCAACUGAA